ACGAAAAAUAACGAUACGGGACUCAUCCGAGGCCCCGUAAUCGGAAUGAGUACACUCUAAAUCCUUUAACGAGGAUCAAUUGGAGGGCAAGUCUGGUGCCAGCAGCCGCGGUAAUUCCAGCUCCAAUAGCGUAUAUUAAAGUUGUUGCGGUUAAAAAGCUCGUAGUCGAAUUUGUGUCCCGCGCCGCCGGUUCAUCGCUCGCGGUGUCAACUGGCGUGUCCGCGGGACGUCCUGCCGGUGGGCUCAGCCUCUACGGGGGCGGCCCAAUCUCAAUCCCACCGCGGUGCUCUUCACUGAGUGUCGAGGUGGGCCGGCACGUUUACUUUGAACAAAUUAGAGUGCUUAAAGCAGGCUAAAACCUCGCCUGAAUACUGUGUGCAUGGAAUAAUGGAAUAGGACCUCGGUUCUAUUUUGUUGGUUUUCGGAACCCCGAGGUAAUGAUUAAUAGGAACGGAUGGGGGCAUUCGUAUUGCGACGUUAGAGGUGAAAUUCUUGGAUCGUCGCAAGACGGACAGAAGCGAAAGCAUUUGCCAAAAACGUUUUCAUUGAUCAAGAACGAAAGUUAGAGGUUCGAAGGCGAUCAGAUACCGCCCUAGUUCUAACCAUAAACGAUGCCAGCUAGCGAUCCGCCGACGUUCCUCCGAUGACUCGGCGGGCAGCUUCCGGGAAACCAAAGCUUUUGGGUUCCGGGGGAAGUAUGGUUGCAAAGCUGAAACUUAAAGGAAUUGACGGAAGGGCACCACCAGGAGUGGAGCCUGCGGCUUAAUUUGACUCAACACGGGAAACCUCACCAGGCCCGGACACCGGAAGGAUUGACAGAUUGAGAGC
rnacentral:rRNA from 1 species